UCCACUGGGCCGUGGCGUGCGACGUGUCCUGGUACGGGCCCUGGUAGCCGCCCUGCCCGUCCUGCUGGUUCGGGUCCGGCCAGUGGACC
rnacentral:tRNA from 1 species